UACGAAGGGGGCUAGCGUUGUUCGGAAUCACUGGGCGUAAAGCGCACGCAGGCGGAUCGAUAAGUCGGGGGUGAAAGCCCGGGGCUCAACCUCGGAAUUGCCUUCGAUACUGUCUGUCUCGAGUACGGGAGAGGUGAGUGGAAUUCCUAGUGUAGAGGUGAAAUUCGUAGAUAUUAGGAAGAUCACCAGUGGCGAAGGCGGCUCAGUGGCCCGGUACUGACGCUCAGGUGCGAAAGCGUGGGGAGCAAACAGG
rnacentral:rRNA from 1 species